AGAGUUUGAUCAUGGCUCAGGACGAACGCUGGCGGCGUGCUUAACACAUGCAAGUCGAACGGUAAGGCCCUUUCGGGGGUACACGAGUGGCGAACGGGUGAGUAACACGUGGGUGAUCUGCCCUGCACUUUGGGAUAAGCCUGGGAAACUGGGUCUAAUACCGAAUAGGACUCCGGACUGCAUGGUCUGGGGUGGAAAGCUUUUGCGGUGUGGGAUGGGCCCGCGGCCUAUCAGCUUGUUGGUGGGGUGAUGGCCUACCAAGGCGACGACGGGUAGCCGGCCUGAGAGGGUGUCCGGCCACACUGGGACUGAGAUACGGCCCAGACUCCUACGGGAGGCAGCAGUGGGGAAUAUUGCACAAUGGGCGCAAGCCUGAUGCAGCGACGCCGCGUGGGGGAUGACGGCCUUCGGGUUGUAAACCCCUUUCAAUAGGGACGAAGCGUGAGUGACGGUACCUAUAGAAGAAGCACCGGCCAACUACGUGCCAGCAGCCGCGGUAAUACGUAGGGUGCGAGCGUUGUCCGGAAUUACUGGGCGUAAAGAGCUCGUAGGUGGUUUGUCGCGUUGUUCGUGAAAACUCACAGCUCAACUGUGGGCGUGCGGGCGAUACGGGCAGACUGGAGUACUGCAGGGGAGACUGGAAUUCCUGGUGUAGCGGUGGAAUGCGCAGAUAUCAGGAGGAACACCGGUGGCGAAGGCGGGUCUCUGGGCAGUAACUGACGCUGAGGAGCGAAAGCGUGGGGAGCGAACAGGAUUAGAUACCCUAGUAGUCC
rnacentral:rRNA from 1 species